rnacentral:tRNA from 1 species
GGACCCGUGGCGCAGUCUGGAUUAGUCGCGAAUCCCUCCUAAGGAUUAGGUCCCGAGUUCGAAUCUCGGCGGGUCCG